GGGGUCACAUGAAUCUUGACAUUUAUAAACAUGCAACUGCAUUUCUUCUUCAAGCCAAGGAAACCCAUCGACUGACAUGGAGAGCUGUUAACCACAUCGUGAGUGGAGUCCAGCAAUAUCAGGCCGUAUUAUUGUAGCACCUAAAACAACAAAUGAGUGACAUGAUUGAAAGACAUUCUGGGGACCUGGGUCAACUAAAGAGUGAUGCAGUGGGGGUAUUUGACCAGUUUGUUGACCCUUUCACUCAGAUUGCUUCCACCCAUUUGCAGGACAAGACCAUCAAAGAACUGUUAAAACCAGUUGAACCAGAGAUUGUUGUCACAAAACAAACAGUAUGUUACAUGAAGUGUGGAGACUCCAGAGUUAUUGCCAUUAAGGACCAUUGUUUUCAUUAUAUACCAUUGGUGAAAAGACAUCCAAGAGUGCUUGCAAUGAUGGACGAGAGGCCAAAGCCAUGCAAGCAUGGCUUUUUUUCAUGAUUUUCAAUGUCACGUUGACACGGUCUAUUUCUUGAAACAAGAUGAUUCAUCUUUUACAAAUAACACAGCAACUUAAAACAUUUAUGAAAUGCCAAAAAAGCUUGUUUCGUGUGAGUUAUGACUCAAAACAAUAUGAUUUUAAGAUUUUUUCACUUAACAAGAUAUCUAAGAUGCAAUGUCUAAAAACAAGUUCCUAUAUCUCACUGAAAUGUUACUCUGUAGCUGAUUUUGUCUUAUUUUAAGUGUGAUUAGAUAUUUUGACUAGAAAUAAGACAAAUAUACUU